rnacentral:rRNA from 1 species
UACAGAGGGGGCAAGCGUUGUUCGGAAUUACUGGGCGUAAAGGGCGCGUAGGCGGCCUGUUAAGUCGAACGUGAAAUCCCUGGGCUCAACCCAGGAACUGCGUCCGAUACUGGCAGGCUUGAAUCCGGGAGAGGGAUGUGGAAUUCCAGGUGUAGCGGUGAAAUGCGUAGAUAUCUGGAGGAAUACCGGUGGCGAAGGCGGACAUCCUGGACCAUUACUGACGCUGAGGCGCGAAAGCUAGGGGAGCAAACGGG